rnacentral:tRNA from 7 species
GGGGGUGUAGUUCAGUUUGGUUAGAACGCUUGCCUGUCACGCAAGAGGUCGCGAGUUCGAGUCUCGUCACUCCCGCCA